GAGAGUAUAUGUGAGAAAAAUUAACAUGUGGAGUAAAUGUGGGUAGAAAUAAAGGGAGGCAAAAACAAUAAUAAAAUACCGAUAGGAGUUUGUUAUAAGCCACCUAAUAUACCAGAGUCCACAGAAAAUCUACUACUAAGGGAAAUAGAUGAGGAGGCAAAU